GAAGGAAUGCCACACUAAUGAAAUCAAGGAUCCUUAAGGAUACAUGUUCCCAGUCUAACUGUGACCCACAGAGACAUCGUGAGAUAGGUCAGCUUGGGAAGCAGAUAUCCCAAGGACAAGAGAAAGUGGGGUCCAAGAUCUACAGCUAAUGGAAAAAGGCAAGGGAACCAAGCUGGAAUGCCAUGUGGACAAAGGAAAACAAAUGAAGAUGUCCCUGAAUGAUAUACAAAUGGGGAACAGAUAAUAUGGAGCAAUAGUUUGACAGACUGUGGUUGCCAUACUGGGGG